UUCAGGACCACCUCCCCAUGGGGGGAUUCUGCCUUCCCCCACUUCAGAUAUUAACCUGGAGUUCUGGACAUCAUGCCUUCCAAUCAUUAAAUGAGCUGAGCAAUGUUUUAUUACAGAUCUCAUGUGGCCGAGCUUAGCAGGGCUUUUAAGUGCUCCUGGGUAUGUCGUGCUUAGGCAAGUUAUUUUCUGCUGUGGAUUGUUGAUGCUGCCACAGAAGGACAGAGUGAUGUGCCUUGAAUUCCAAUGAAGAGCAAUAGUGUUUUGUUUGGGGAGAUUUUUCCUCCCCCCUGUAAAGAGAACGACUUGAGAAACUGCAAGUUACUUCUGGUGUGAAAGAAUUGGCCAUCUGCAAGGACGUUGCCCAGGGGAUGCCCAGACGAUUUGAUGUUUUUAUCAUCCUUGUGGGAGGCUUCUCUCAUGUCCCCGCAUGAGGACCUGGAGUUGAUAUAGGGAGCUCAUCUGCCUCUCCCCGGAUUCGAACCUGCAACCUGUCAGUCUUCAGUCCUGCCGGCACAGGGGUUUAACGCACUGCGCCACCAGGGGUUCCUUUUUUUUGGUGUUCCAUGUCAAUGUGCAUUUAUACAUUAUUUGUUAUUUAUAAAGUACAUUGUUUCAAGGGACCAGAAUGGAUUAAUAGCAUUUCAAUGCAUUUCAAUAGGAAAAUUUGCUUUGAGAUAAUAAUGAUUUGAGUUAAGAGCUCAUUCGUGAAGUGAAUUAAACUCUUAACUCAAGGUAUAAUUGUACAGAGACAUCUGUUCUGAUGCCCUUUGAAGCCUUCCUCUUUGAAUUUAAUAGUUCCUGGUUGCCCAUAGUUGAAACAUUUUGUCAUUUUAAAAUAUUUUCUUGCUUGCUUUGUGUAUAUGCAAAAA